UCCCAUCUCACUCCUAAAUGUGGAUUACAAAAUUUUUGCUGAUAUUUUGGCGAGCAGACUUAAAAAAUACUUAACGAAGUAAUUCAUAAGGACCAGGCAGGCUUUCUCCCAGGGAGACAUCUUUUGAUAAUACCAGGAACAUUAUUGAUAUUUUGGAACUUUUACAAACUAAUAUCAAUACGAAAGCUGUGUUAAUUUUCAUCGACGCGGAGAAGGCCUUUGAUAAUAUUUCUUGGAUGUUUAUGAAGAGAAACCUGGAAGGGAUGGGAGUGGGACGGGGGUUUGAAAAUGGAAUAGAAGCAAUUUAUUCUGAGCAAAAAGCUAAACUGAUAGUAAACAAUGUGGUGACAGAUGAGUUCAAAAUUGAAAAAGGGACACGACAAGGGUGCCCCCUAUCCCCCCUUUUAUUUAUUUCAGUCCUGGAGGUGUUACUGAACAUGAUUAGGAAGGACCGGUUGAUACAAGGAAUACAGGUCGGAGCGAAACAAUAUAAAUUGAAAGCUUUUGCAGAUGAUUUGGUUUUAACAUUACAGGAGCCAGAAUCUAGUACAAAAAGAGUAUUAGAAUUGAUUCAUGAGUUUGGUCGGGUGGCGGGAUUUAAGUUGAAUAAGCAAAAACUAAGGUUUUGGGGAAAAACUUGACACCCUCAGAAAUAGAUGGGUUUCAGAAGGAAACAGAACUAAGUGUGGUAAAAAAAGUGAAAUACCUAGGGGUUCACUUGUCAGCGAAAAAUUUGAAUCUAUUUAAAGACAACUAUGAAAAAUGUUGGCUGGAAAUCAAAAAAGAUUUGGAAAUCUGGUCAAGAUUGAAACUUUCCUUGUUGGGUCGAAUUGCUGCUAUAAAAAUGAAUGUAUUGCCGAAAAUGUUAUUUUUGUUUCAAACCCUACAGAUUGUGGACAGAGUGGAAUGUUUUGGAAAGUGGCAGAAGGAUAUAUCCAAGUUUGUCUGGCAGGGCAAAAGCCCCGGAUAAAGUUUAAAAUACUAACUGAUUUGAAAGAAAGAGGGGGGUUUGCCCUGCCGGACUUGAGAUUAUAUUAUGAAGCUGCGGCCUUCUGCUGGAUGAAAGAUUGGUUACUUCUUGAGAACACUGAUGUUCUAGAUCUGGAAGGGUUUGAUAAUGCUUUUGGUUGGCAUGCAUAUUUGUGGUACGACAAGGUAAAGGUUCAUAAAAUGUUCAAAAAUCAUAUUGUUAGAAAAUCAAUAUUUAUGGUCUGGACAAAAUACAAGGACUUAUUAGAGGGUAAGACUCCGAGGUGGCUUUCACCAGCAGAGGCCAAGGCCCGGAAAAACCUAAUAUGGAGGUUGGUUGGCUGAAAUAUGGGGAAAUUAUAG